rnacentral:lncRNA from 1 species
GACAGGGAGGAUCAAGAGGCAGGAGAUUAUCAUACUGAUGAGGUUGCAAUCGUCAGCUCUGAUUUAGAAAAUGGAGAGCGAAUCCGAUAUUUCAAGAACAACAAGGUUUACCCGUGUCAAAAUGGGCGUUUAUCAGCAUGCACUUACCAAUGAUGAGGUAUGUCCAAUAGUUGAAGGGUAGAACUGGAUAGGCAUCGAGUCGAUGUGGUUAGAUUUCACGGGGGUGAUACAAAUUUUAGAGGAACUCAGCAUCUCUCCUAGUUUCACGUUCGU